AUUGAACGCUGGCGGCAUGCCUUACACAUGCAAGUCGAACGGUAACGGGCCUUCGGGUGCCGACGAGUGGCGAACGGGUGAGUAAUAUAUCGGAACGUACCUUUCAGUGGGGGAUAACGUAGCGAAAGUUACGCUAAUACCGCAUAUUCUGUGCGCAGGAAAGCAGGGGACCUUCGGGCCUUGCGCUGAUUGAGCGGCCGAUAUCAGAUUAGCUAGUUGGUGAGGUAAAGGCUCACCAAGGCGACGAUCUGUAGCGGGUCUGAGAGGAUGAUCCGCCACACUGGAACUGAGACACGGUCCAGACUCCUACGGGUGGCAG
rnacentral:rRNA from 1 species